rnacentral:lncRNA from 1 species
AUCGGCACGAUUCACCUCGCCCGGUCCUGAGGUCCCAGGGACGCAGCUGGGGGUGUCCUGGAAUUCACGACUCUGCAGCCCGAGGUCCCCUCUGGCACUGUGGAGGACUCGCCAUGCCUCUCCUGCCCCCUCCCCUGUGUGACAGCGAUCACAGACCCCGGCACAAAGCUGAGCAGAGCCCAUCGGGGCCCAAACGUGCACUCACAGAGGCCUGCUCCUCGUGGGGUGACAUCAGAACGACACCCGCAGAAACCCAAAGCCCAAAGCUGCCCCCGCUUCUCCCUCUUAGACCAUCGAACCUCAUCCUGCAGAUACUCAGGCCACACACCUGCCACCAGCCUGGCCCGAGCGCCACCCCAACCCCUCUGAGCCCACGCCUAACACCCCACAGCGCCUCCUCUUUCUCGUCCCAAAGAAAGGCUGACACCGCUCUGGCACGUGGCUGGCCCAGCUCAGCCUCCCCGCCUCUGCCCUUGCAGGUGCCCUGUACCCAGGCCUCUGUCCAUGCAGCCAGAGAUUCACCCCGGUUUCCUUCAACUCCUUCCCCAGCUUCACAGUCUCGGCGCUUCUGCUCUUGGCUUCCAGCCCAUGCCUGGGUCCCCUCCUCUGCUACGUCCCUCCAAGGCCCUAUGCCUUGCGCCUUGCCUGUUCCUGUGUGCUGUGGGGCCACCACUCCGAUAGCUGUGAACUCCAAGGGCAGCCCCAGGGAACCUGGUGCCAGAGAUGGAAUCUUGCUAUGUUGUCCGGGCUGGUCUCGAACUUCUGGGCUCAAGAGAUCCUUCUGUCUCAGUCUCCUAAAUUGUUGGGACUACAGGUGUGAGCCCCCACACCCCGCCAGGUUUCUGAUUUUUAAUAAAGACUCCCUCUGGCUGUGUGAAGA